GGAAUAAGCUGGUCACAGUUGUUACACAACUCCAGGAAUUUCUUCUUUUGUUGAUUCACCAGGUUUGUCGAUAUUAAGGAUACAAUGUGCAGAAGUGUUCCUACCUGGUCUGGCUUUGGUCCCAUCUGUGCCCAUCACUUUAAGGAAAGUGACGUUUCCUGCACCUUGUGCACCAUGCGUGCAAACACUGGGAUUCUGGCUGUAUCCUGUGGAGGUACAAAAAGGUAUUCAGUCACCAAGGUCCCUGAGCCCAGGCUCCAUUGACUUGCACCAGUGGAAUCCAUAGAGUGAAUUGGACCAAGAGUCUGAAUCAACUAUCCAUGUGGAAAAAUGAGACCCUUCUGGCUGCCCUAUGACCUACAUGGUAGCAACAGCGGCUUUGAGACCCACAGGAGGGAAGAGGAAACCUUCACUUUAGAGAAGGGAAAAGUUUACCUGUGAUACAUGGUUAGCUGUCCAUCUGCACAGUGUAAAUGGGACUCAGCAGAUCAAAGCUGACAUAUUUGUUAGUCAAAGAGACUGGCAAUUCACAGGAUCUUAAUU